GUGAACUCCACGGGUGGUGAUGGAUGUCUCCUGUUCCAGGAAGUGCCAGAUUCAGUGAAACACUUUGAUAAGUGUAGAUCAUCAAGCAGAAUAUAUAGAAAUCUAACUGAUAUCAGAGCAUAAAAUGGACCUGGCCUGAACACUGACAUUCCAAAUGGAAGGAAAAAGAAGAGAGUUGGAGAAACCAAUGCAGACCAUACCCACCUCGGUCACACGUGGAACAGCUCUGAUGAGGUCUUCUUGGGAUGCUACAGCAUUAUUUUGGGACUGGCGAGGAAGAGAACCUUUUACAAUGGUGGUAUGCAAAUCCAGCACACACUGAGAGGUGGGGUUGGGGGGGCAGAUUUCUUUAAAAACCUGAAAGAU